AUUGAACGCUGGCGGCAUGCCUUACACGUGCAAGUCGAACGGUAACAGGUUAAGCUGACGAGUGGCGAACGGGUGAGUAAUGUAUCGGAACGUGCCCAGUCGUGGGGGAUAACUGCUCGAAAGAGCAGCUAAUACCGCAUACGACCUGAGGGUGAAAGCGGGGGAUCGCAAGACCUCGCGCGAUUGGAGCGGCCGAUAUCAGAUUAGGUAGUUGGUGAGGUAAAGGCUCACCAAGCCGACGAUCUGUAGCUGGUCUGAGAGGACGACCAGCCACACUGGGACUGAGACACGGCCCAGACUCCUACGGGAGGCAGCAGUGGGGAAUUUUGGACAAUGGGCGCAAGCCUGAUCCAGCCAUGCCGCGUGCGGGAAGAAGGCCUUCGGGUUGUAAACCGCUUUUGUCAGGGAAGAAAAGGUUCUGGCUAAUACCUGGGACUCAUGACGGUACCUGAAGAAUAAGCACCGGCUAACUACGUG
rnacentral:rRNA from 1 species